UCAGGUAUGUUGUCACCUUGUAGUGUGUGGGCCAUCUCAUGCUCAAUGCUCAUUAUCCAUCGAGGAAUUUUUAGCUCAAUUUUUUGCUAUAUUAAUAGGUGUUUUUAUUACUAGAUGGAUUCUUCCAAGAAUAUAUUUCAGUUGACUGUUUUUUUUUGUCAAUGUCAUAUUUUAUAGAAUCUUGAUCAUUUGAUACAAAUUCGUCAUCUCUCAUUCUCAGUAACUUUACAUUCAUCUCUUAUUCUCUUCUUUAGUUCACCACCCAAUCCAUUAUUCACAUCUUUCAUUUUCUACUCUCAAGUUCCUAUUGUAUUUCACUUUUUUGAUGGCACCAAAUCAAUAACAUCAAUGAGGAUAUGGAUAUAUUGCCUAUAAUACAACAAUGAUGAUGAAGGAUCAUAGUAGCUUGCGGCCUACAGCUACACCAUUCCUACAACAAAUCAUGAUCCUCAAGUUUCAACCAUAUUGUAGCCUAUAUAUUCUUGGUUCACACAUGCUCUUCUACUGCCUAUAACUAAAUCAAUGAGGUCAUAGGAUAUCAUGUUGUAUCACUGCCAACUAGAGCUGAACCGAUAAUAUCAAUCCUUUUCAGAAGAUCAAGAUGCAACAUCAGUCAUCAGCUACAAGUCAUUCCAAGGUAUCUUGGCAUUGGAUUUGUACAAUUGAAGUCACUAAGGCAGUAAUAACAUUAUCUGAUGGCUAUGCCUGUAAGACAGAAUGUAUAUUCAUUAAUCCAUGUGCUCCUGUUUGCUGUGUUUUUUUUUUUAAAAAAAAUCAUGUGACUAAUCAUGGAAUUCCUUAUUUUACAUGCAUUCUUUAUAUAUAUAUAUAUAUAUGUCCCAACUUAGGUUUGUGCCUUGGCUUGAUAAGGAUUAGCCCUUAUUGCUUGACCCGACCUAUGGACCAAGUUAGGCAUGAUAGGUCACUAUUUUUUUCUUAAUAGGCUGUGUCAAAAAGGUAUGACUCAGAUCACGUCAGAUUAGGUUGGAUCACCUAUGACUUAGCCUAUUUAACAUCUCUACUUGUGUUGGGUUAUGGCAUUGGCAUGAGAUUGUCCCUAGUUAGGCCUGCCUUGACAUGAUUGAAGUUGUGCAUGAUCAAACAUGGCCCAAUUGGAGCUAGGUAGUCUCAUGAAUCCCCUUGCUCAUGUGAUUUAACUUGUGUCAAUUUUUAAGGAAACCAAGGGUAGGAUUUCUCUCACCCUUACCAAAGAUGUUUGUUGUGUUGUCUUUGCUCUACCAUUUGUCUAUAAGCAAGUUCGAGCAAGGGGUUACAUGGUCAAGUCGCUUGCAAAAAGUAAUGCACCUUUUGUUGGGAUCAUUUGCAAAGAUAGAUUAGUUUUUUUCCCUUCAAAAUAGUUAUCAAUAUUUAUCAUUAUAAACUAAUUAAUUGAAAGUGUAGAUUUAUAUUCAAAUGAUUGCAUGCUCAUUAUUCAAUAGAAUGCACCUUUUGUAUCUCCUUAUUUUCUCUUACAGUUUGGUCCUUUUAAUUAGCGACUAAAAGUUUUAUUCUUGUCAAAAAUGUCUAAAAUUUGUUAUCUUCCUGCAAAAAGUCUCAUAAGUUAGUUUGACAAAAUGUUCUUGGAAGUCUACCUUUCUUAUUGUCAAAAUAUUUUUUAAAUGGAAAGUUUUAUGUCUAUCUUUCAGUGCUUCCUUAUGAUCUUAAAAUUUACCUCUGUAAACAUGACCUCUUAUUUUCACUAUUUGCUAGGAUUUUGAAAUUCCUUGGGACUUUUCCAAACAAAAGAAGUGCAUAUAUAAAAUGACAGAGGCAUUUUGCAAAAAAAAGUGUAGGCUGUUUUGAAAGGUAAGCCAGUAAGCUGGAGGAUGUUCUAAAUCCAGAGAAAAGGCAGUUGGAAAAGUUUGCACCUGUAUGAAAAAGGUUAACAUCAAGCUUUCAGUCUGCGACUGUCACCUACUGUCUUCAGCAACGCAAUGGGGGUGGUAACACAAUUGCUCGGUUGCUUCCCAUAGUUCGAAAUGCAGCAUUCUUGAGACCAUAUUUUCUGAAGGACAUGUGUAAACUUCUUGUGAGAUGUCGGAAUGUUAUGUAAAAUUUUGAUAUAAACCAUGUUUGCU